GGAGCAUGUGGUUUAAUUCGAUGAUACGCGAGGAACCUUACCAGGGCUUAAAUGUAGUCUGACAGCUUUAGAGAUAGAGUUUUCUUCGGACAGAUUACAAGGUGCUGCAUGGUUGUCGUCAGCUCGUGCCGUGAGGUGUCAGGUUAAGUCCUAUAACGAGCGCAACCCCUACCGUUAGUUGCCAGCGAUUCAAGUCGGGGACUCUAACGGGACUGCCGGUGCAAACCGUGAGGAAGGUGGGGACGACGUCAAAUCAUCACGGCCCUUACGUCCUGGGCCACACACGUGCUACAAUGGCCGGUACAGAGAGCAGCCACUGGGCAACCAGGAGCGAAUCUAUAAAACCGGUCACAGUUCGGAUCGGGGUCUGCAACUCGACCCCGUGAAGCUGGAAUCGCUAGUAAUCGGAUAUCAGCCAUGAUCCGGUGAAUACGUUCCCGGGCCUUG
rnacentral:rRNA from 1 species